rnacentral:rRNA from 1 species
GACGAACGCUGGCGGCGUGCCUAACACAUGCAAGUCGAGCGAAUGAAGUUCCUUCGGGAAUGGAUUUAGCGGCGGACGGGUGAGUAACACGUGGGCAACCUGCCUCAUAGAGGGGAAUAGCCUCCCGAAAGGGAGAUUAAUACCGCAUAAGAUUGUAGUACCGCAUGAUACAGCAAUUAAAGGAGCAAUCCGCUAUGAGAUGGGCCCGCGGCGCAUUAGCUAGUUGGUGAGGUAAUGGCUCACCAAGGCGACGAUGCGUAGCCGACCUGAGAGGGUGAUCGGCCACAUUGGGACUGAGACACGGCCCAGACUCCUACGGGAGGCAGCAGUGGGGAAUAUUGCACAAUGGGGGAAAACCUGAUGCAGCAACGCCGCAUGAGUGAUGACGGCCUUCGGGUUGUAAAGCUCUGUCUUCAGGGACGAUAAUGACGGUACCUGAGGAGGAAGCCACGGCUAACUACGUG